ACUGGGCAUGGUGGUGUGUACUUGUAGUCCCAGCUACUUGGGAGGCUGAGGCAGGAGGGUCACUUGAGUCCAGGAGUUCUGGGUUGUGGUGUGCUAUGCUGAUUGGGUGUCUGCACUAAGUUCGGCAUCAAUAUGUUGAUCUCCCAUGAGUUGGGGACCACCAGGUUCCCUGAGGAGGGGUGAACUGACCCAGGUGGGAAAUGGAGCAGGUCAAAACUGUGCUGAUCGGUAGUGAGGUUGCACCUGUGAAUAGCCACUGUACAUUAGUUUGGGCAACAUGGCGAGACCCUAUCUCU
ensembl:misc_RNA Metazoa_SRP Metazoan signal recognition particle RNA